rnacentral:rRNA from 1 species
GUGCCAGCAGCCGCGGUAAUACAGAGGGUGCAAGCGUUAAUCGGAAUUACUGGGCGUAAAGCGCGCGUAGGUGGUUAGUUAAGUUGGAUGUGAAAUCCCCGGGCUCAACCUGGGAACUGCAUUCAAAACUGACUGACUAGAGUAUGGUAGAGGGUGGUGGAAUUUCCUGUGUAGCGGUGAAAUGCGUAGAUAUAGGAAGGAACACCAGUGGCGAAGGCGACCACCUGGACUGAUACUGACACUGAGGUGCGAAAGCGUGGGGAGCAAACAGGAUUAGAAACCCCAGUAGUCC